rnacentral:lncRNA from 1 species
GAAAGUGGCUAAAAUUGAAAUAACCACUGUGUGAAAUGAAGUAUCUACAAACCCUCCCCUGGGCAAGCUCCCAACCUGAGGAACUGGCACCAGGAGGUUUGUCCCAAUGUGAUGCAUGAAAUGAAGAUUGUGUAGCUCUCUAAAUCCAGAUUACCAGCUGAUUUCCUCCCCUAAAUUCCAAGGCACCAUCUGUCAAAAUCACGAAGACCUCCACUACCAGGCUCUUUGAGAUGGGAAAGUGUCAUCUCCACUUCUGCAUACAGGAUGCUGAGGAGCAGAACAGCUGAGGCUGUGCUUGCACAAAAAAAAUGAAGGGGAAACCAUGCAGAUGUGUGUUUGUUUGAGGUACCUUAUUGAAGCACAUGGAUAUAUUUUAUUUGUGAUGGAGCAUCACGUUUCCAAGAAAGUAACAGCUAACACUGGAAUUAGAUCCAUGCUUUUUAUAUUGGACUUACAAGGAAUUCAGGCAAUGGGAAACACCAUGUUCCCUGAAGACAGAGUGGACUCAAGGCCUCAGCCCUUACUUCAGACAAAAUGAACCUUUAUCCCCAGGCAAGCUCAGCAGCAGAAAUACCCAUCCCAGGUCCCAGCUUGGGUCACAACAAACUCAGAAGCUCUGCGGUGGCAAGUUCUCAUCAAAUGUCGUGUGGCAAGGGUCUGCUCUCAUCUUGGCUGCUGUACACCAGGAAUGAAGUGGCCACCUUUGGUCUAUCUACUCUGGAUUUUCUCUGGGGGAGGGAGAUUGCAAUCUGGCUCAUUGCAUCUUUCUAUGUGUGUCACUCGAAAGUACAGAAGAAUAAAAAAGAAGAGCUCUUUUCUUCCAUUGGCUGAAGAUGAAGUUCUUUGUCCAGUGAAAUCCCUGCUUUAAGCACCUCAAAGGAUUACUGAAGUUAGAAAUUGAAUCUUUCUUUGAUAGCCCCAGCAUAAAUAUAUGCACAUAUAAAUAGAGAGACACAGCAUGGGUGCAUUUCAAUAGAUAGAUAUUAUUCUGAUGUAUAUGCUGUAAACAUCUAUGCAGAAAAGGAAA